rnacentral:rRNA from 1 species
CGUAAAGCUCUGUUGUUAAAGUAAGAACACGUAUGAGAGUAACUGUUCAUACGUUGACGGUAUUUAACCAGAAAGUCACGGCUAACUACGUGCCAGCAGCCGCGGUAAUACGUAGGUGGCAAGCGUUAUCCGGAUUAUUGGGCGUAAGAGAGUGCAGGCGGUUUCUAAGUCUGAUGUGAAAGACCUUCGGCUUAACCGGAGAAGUAGCAUCGGAAACUGGAUAACUUGAGUGCAGAAGAGGGUAGUGGAAUCCCAUGUGUAGCGGUGGAAUGCGUAGAUAUAUGGAAGGAACAACCAGUGGCGAAGGCGGCGUACCUCGGUCUGCAACUGACGCUGAGACUCGAAAGCAUGGGUAGCGAACAGGAUUAGAUACCCUGGUAG